rnacentral:tRNA from 1 species
GCCUGGGUGGCUUAGUCGGUUAAGCAUCCGACUUCGGCUCAGGUCAUGAUCUCACGGUCCGUGAGUUCUAAUCCCGCAUCGGGCU